AUUGAACGCUGGCGGAAUGCUUUACACAUGCAAGUCGAACGGCAGCACGGGAGCUUGCUCCUGGUGGCGAGUGGCGAACGGGUGAGUAAUACAUCGGAACGUACCCAGUCGUGGGGGAUAACACAUCGAAAGAUGUGCUAAUACCGCAUACGACCUGAGGGUGAAAGGGGGGGAUCGCAAGACCUCUCGCGAUUGGAGCGGCCGAUGUCGGAUUAGCUAGUUGGUAGGGUAAAGGCCUACCAAGGCGACGAUCCGUAGCUGGUCUGAGAGGAUGAUCAGCCACACUGGAACUGAGACACGGUCCAGACUCCUACGGGAGGCAGCAGUGGGGAAUUUUGGACAAUGGGGGCAACCCUGAUCCAGCCAUUCCGCGUGAGUG
rnacentral:rRNA from 1 species